GGGUGAGCGGCUGUCUGGAUGUCGGCGAAGCCGCGGGCGAGAUCACUCCUUUAAAGGCAGAGCAGUGGGCACAGGUGCCAUGGCGGGAAGCAGGCCUUUCUGAAUUCUUAGCAGCGAUCUCCAAGGGCACUGUAACCUUGCAAGAAAGAGGCUGCCAGUCUUGCAUCAGAUACAGAAACCAGGGCGCAGAGUAGCCUGCCCCUCCUGUGACUUCCCCGUCUCGGGAAAUGGCACCAUCAUCAUCUGCCUGGUGGCUCCGGCCAGAAAACAGGCAGGCACCUUUGGAUCGUCUCACCCUCACCACCCA
rnacentral:sRNA from 1 species